GAUGAACGCUAGCGAUAGGCUUAACACAUGCAAGUCGAGGGGCAGCAUGGUCUUAGCUUGCUAAGACUGAUGGCGACCGGCGCACGGGUGCGUAACGCGUAUGCAACUUGCCUCACAGAGGGGGAUAACCCGUCGAAAGACGGACUAAUACCGCGUACACUCUAUGUUGGGCAUCCAAUGUAGAGGAAAUGAAAUUCGCUGUGAGAUAGGCAUGCGUCCCAUUAGCUAGUUGGUGAGGUAACGGCUCACCAAGGCGACGAUGGGUAGGGGAACUGAGAGGUUGAACCCCCACACUGGUACUGAGACACGGACCAGACUCCUACGGGAGGCAGCAGUGAGGAAUAUUGGUCAAUGGGCGAGAGCCCGAACCAGCCAAGUCGCGUGAAGGAUGACUGUCUUAUGGAUUGUAAACUUCUUUUGUAGGGGAAUAAAGAACGGCACGUGUGCCGUAGUGAAUGUACCCUACGAAUAAGCAUCGGCUAACUCCGUGCCAGCAGCCGCGGUAAUACGGGGGAUGCGAGCGUUAUCCGGAUUUAUUGGGUUUAAAGGGUGCGUAGGCGGCCUGUUAAGUCAGCGGUGAAAUCUAGGAGCUUAACUCCUAAAUUGCCAUUGAUACUGGCGGGCUUGAGUGUAGAUGAGGUAGGCGGAAUGCGUGGUGUAGCGGUGGAAUGCAUAGAUAUCACGCAGAACUCCGAUUGCGAAGGCAGCUUACUAAGGUACAACUGACGCUGAAGCACGAAAGCGUGGGUAUCACACAGG
rnacentral:rRNA from 1 species